rnacentral:rRNA from 1 species
AAGCCCCGCAAGGGGCAAGUAGAGUGGCAAACGGGUGAGUAACACGUGGGUGACCUGCCUUCGAGCGGGGGAUAACGUCCCGAAAGGGACGCUAAUACCGUAUAACAUCCUGCCUUUGAAGAGGUGGAGAUCAAAGCUGGGGAUCGCAAGACCCGGCAUUUGAAGAGGGGCCCGCGUCUGAUUAGCUAGUUGGUGGGGUAACGGCCUACCAAGGCAACGAUCAGUAUCCGGCCUGAGAGGGCGGACGGACACACUGGGACUGAGACACGGCCCAGACUCUUACGGGAGGCAGCAGUGGGGAAUUGUUCGCAAUGGGCGCAAGCCUGACGACGCAACGCCGCGUGGAGGAUGAAGAUUUUCGGA